rnacentral:rRNA from 1 species
CCAUGCAUGUCUCAGUACAAGCCGCAUUAAGGUGAAACCGCGAAUGGCUCAUUAAAUCAGUUAUGGUUCCUUAGAUCGUACCCACGUUACUUGGAUAACUGUGGUAAUUCUAGAGCUAAUACAUGCAAACAGAGUCCCGACCAGAGAUGGGAGGGACGCUUUUAUUAGAUCAAAACCAAUCGGUCGGCUCGUCCGGUCCGUUUGCCUUGGUGACUCUGAAUAACUUUGGGCUGAUCGCACGGUCUCCGUACCGGCGACGCAUCUUUCAAAUGUCUGCCUUAUCAACUGUCGAUGGUAGGUUCUGCGCCUACCAUGGUUGUAACGGGUAACGGGGAAUCAGGGUUCGAUUCCGGAGAGGGAGCCUGAGAAACGGCUACCACAUCCAAGGAAGGCAGCAGGCGCGCAAAUUACCCACUCCCGGCACGGGGAGGUAGUGACGAAAAAUAACGAUACGGGACUCAUCCGAGGCCCCGUAAUCGGAAUGAGUACACUUUAAAUCCUUUAACGAGUAUCUAUUGGAGGGCAAGUCUGGUGCCAGCAGCCGCGGUAAUUCCAGCUCCAAUAGCGUAUAUUAAAGUUGUUGCGGUUAAAAAGCUCGUAGUUGGAUUUGUGUCCCACGCUGUUGGUUCACCGCCCGUCGGUGUUUAACUGGCAUGUAUCGUGGGACGUCCUGCCGGUGGGGCGAGCCGAAGGCGUGCGGCCGCCUUGCGCGUGCCCGUGCGUCCCGAGGCGGACCCCGUUGAAAUCCUACCGCGGUGCUCUUUACCGAGUGUCGAGGUGGGCCGGCACGUUUACUUUGAACAAAUUAGAGUGCUUAAAGCAGGCAAGCCCGCCUGAAUACUGUGUGCAUGGAAUAAUGGAAUAGGACCUCGGUUUCUAUUUUGUUGGUUUUCGGAACCCGAGGUAAUGAUUUAUANGGACAGGGCGGGGGCAUUCGUAUUGCGACGUUAGAGGUGAAAAUUCUUGGAUCGUCGCAAGACGAACAGAAGCGAAAGGCAUUUGCCAAGUAUGUUUUUCAUUAAUCAAGGAACGGAAAGUUAGA